rnacentral:lncRNA from 12 species
GUGGAUUUAAGAAAAAAAGGCAAUUGUUAUAUAUUUUUUCUCUCUGAAUGGUGGUCCCAGACCCCAGUUUGCUAUGGUAAAUUCUCAAAUAUACUGAAUGUCAUUUGAAUGAUACUGAAUAUAAUAUUUUGGAAAUAUAAGUGUGAUAUUUGUGCUCCCUCUCAGCUGGCUCUACCAGGCUCUGGGCAUUUGUCUAGGCUGGGAUCUCUUGUGAGUGGAGUAAAGGUGGAGACUCUAUGGGCUUUACCAACUGAUGUUCUGCUAGAAGCGUUACCUGCUCUGAGCCUUCAGACACCUGGGCUCACCCCCCCACAGGUCAACACUAUCAUCUCCAAACUCUGGGCUUCCAGUUCUGUGUCCCAGUGGAUGGAUAAAGUCAAACCUUUGCUCUCUAGCACUCCACUCCUGAGUGUGAUUGCCCAAGUCCCUCUGCUGCUGAUCAAAGACACUGCUGUACACACUCGCCUCUGGAACACACAGCAGGCGAAAGCUCUCUUUAAAGAGGCUGUCGUCUCUCAUCCAAGUCUCUCGCUACAAGAAUUUCUGUAA